AUUGAACGCUGGCGGCAGGCUUAACACAUGCAAGUCGAGCGAGCGGCGGACGGGUGAGUAAUGUCUGGAAAACUGCCUGAUGGACGGGGAUCACUAUUGGAAAAGGUAGCUAAUACCGCAUACAAUAAUAUGUGUCCAGAUGGGAUUAGCGAGUAGGUGGGGUAACGGCUCACAUAGGGGACGAUACCUAGCUGGUCUGAGAGGAUGACCAGCCACAUUGGAACUGAGACACGGUCCAGACUCCUACGGGAGGCAGCAGUGGGGAAUAUUGCACAAUGGGCGAAAGCCUGAUGGAGCCACGCCGCGUGUGUGAAGAAGGCCUUCGGGUUGUAAAGCACUUUCAGCGAUGAGGCGUUACUCGCAGAAGAAGCACCGGCUAACUACGUGCCAGCAGCCGCGGUAAUAC
rnacentral:rRNA from 1 species